UACAGAGGGUGCGAGCGUUAAUCGGAGUUACUGGGCGUAAAGGGCGCGUAGGCGGUUAUGUAAGUGUGAUGUGAAAGCCCCGGGCUUAACCUGGGAAGUGCAUUGCAAACUGUAUAGCUAGAGUAGAUGAGAGGGUGGCGGAAUUUCCGGUGUAGCGGUGAAAUGCGUAGAGAUCGGAAGGAACGUCAAUGGCGAAGGCAGCCACCUGGCAUCAUACUGACGCUGAGGCGCGAAAGCGUGGGGAGCGAAC
rnacentral:rRNA from 1 species